rnacentral:rRNA from 1 species
GAACGCUGGCGGCGUGCUUCAUACAUGCAAGUCGAACGAGAAGCUGACUUCGGUCAGUGGAAAGUGGCGGACGGGUGAGUAAUAUGUAGAGAAUCUGCCCUUGAGUGGGGGACAACAGAGGGAAACUUCUGCUAAUACCCCAUAUGAGCUAACUUGAAAUAGUUAUCUUGAAAACUCCGGUGCUCAAGGAUGAGUCUGCAUCUGAUUAGCUAGUUGGCGGUGUAAUGGACCACCAAGGCGACGAUCAGUAGCUGGUUUGAGAGGAUGAUCAGCCACAAUGGGACUGAGACACGGCCCAUACUCCUACGGGAGGCAGCAGUAGGGAAUUUUGCGCAAUGGGCGAAAGCCUGAACCGCAGCAACGCCGCGUGAACGAUUAAGCCCUUCGGGGUGUAAAGUUCUGUCAGUAGGGACGAAUUUUGACGGUACCUACAGAGGAAGCACCGGCUAACUCCGUGCCAGCAGCAGC